rnacentral:lncRNA from 1 species
AUGACACCCUCUCGUCCCCUCUCAUCCUCUCCAGGGACAGGCAGCAAGCACGAAUUUCAUGGAGGUGCCAGAAAGCCCCCGACGUUUUCUAACAGGUGGAAAGUAUGCUACCUAGUGCACAUUCAGCGUUCAAAGAAGUUGGCUGAAUACAGAAGCCAGUGGUCAUCAGAGGAAGACGCACCCACAUUAGGCAACCUCUUCCAGUCCCCAGAGUCAACACCGUGUCCCCAAGAACUCUCCGUCAUUUCACAAGAGAAGUUGUGGCCAGGACACCGGGCAAAGAUCUCCAAGACACGGAGAACUUCAUGGGUCCCAGGCACUGCCUCUCCUUUACAAGGAGACCUGGGCGAGCCCCAUGUUUCUAGGCCUCAAUUCCUCAUCUGUAAAAUGAGGGGGUUGAAUUAGUUUCUAAAGCUCCUUCCAGCUCUAAGAUGCUGUGCUAGAAAAUGAGAGAAAUGUGAGCCUUUGGUUGCUAUGAUCUGAAAAUAUUUUGAAUGUGGAGAAUCAAAUUGUACAGCAGCGCAGGAACAAAAUAAUAUGUUAAUGACUAAGAAGAUUGUAUUUAAUCCAAUGGCAAACAGCAGAGCAACUACUGCUGGUGGUGGUGAUGUGUGUGUGUGUGUGUGUGUGUGUGUGUGUGUGUGUGUGUG